AUAUCUCUCUGUACGGGAAGGAUGAGAAGCUUCGACUAAGGUUCGAUUCGAGCGUCAGCGAGAAAGCG
rnacentral:sRNA from 4 species